GACGAACGCUGGCGGCAUGCUUAACACAUGCAAGUCGAACGGAAAGGCCCUGCUUUUGUGGGGUGCGCGAGUGGCGAACGGGGGAGUAACACGUGAGUAACCUGUCAUUGACUUUGGGGUAACUUAAGGAAACUGGGGCUAAUACCGGAUAGGAGCUCCUGCUGCAUGGUGGGGGUUGGAAAGUUUCGGCGGUUGGGGAUGGACUAGCGGCUUAUCAGCUUGUUGGUGGGGUAGUGGCAUACCAAGGCUAUGACGCGUAGCCGGGCUGCGAGGGUGACCGGCCACGCUAGGACUGAGAUACGGCCCAGACUCCUAUGGGACGCAGCAGUGGGGAAUAGUGCACAAUGGGCGGAACGCUAAUGUAGCAACGCCGCGUGGCGGAAGAGGGCCAGCGGGUAGUAAUCUGCAUCCGCUUGUGACGAAGCGUGAGUGACGGUAAUGGGUAAAGAAGCACCGGCUAACUACGUG
rnacentral:rRNA from 1 species